AUUGAACGCUGGCGGCAGGCCUAACACAUGCAAGUCGAGCGGGGUUUUCGGACCUAGCGGCGGACGGGUGAGUAAUGCGUAGGAAGCUGCCCGAUAGAGGGGGAUACCAGUUGGAAACGACUGUUAAUACCGCAUAAUGUCUACGGACCAAAGUGUGGGACCUUCGGGCCACAUGCUAUCGGAUGCGCCUACGUGGGAUUAGCUAGUUGGUGAGGUAAUGGCUCACCAAGGCGACGAUCUCUAGCUGGUUUGAGAGGAUGAUCAGCCACACUGGAACUGAGACACGGUCCAGACUCCUACGGGAGGCAGCAGUGGGGAAUAUUGGACAAUGGGCUCAAGCCCGAUCCAGCCAUGCCGCGUGUGUGAAGAAGGCCUUCGGGUUGUAAAGCACUUUCAGCGAGGAGGAAGGGUGGUGUGUUAAUAGCACAUCAUUUUGACGUUACUCGCAGAAGAAGCACCGGCUAACUCUGUGCCAGCCGCCGCAGUAACAC
rnacentral:rRNA from 1 species